rnacentral:snRNA from 1 species
GUGCUCGCUUCAGCAGUACAUAUACUAAAAUUAGAAUGAUACAGAGAAGAUUAACAUAUCCCCUGUGCAAGGAUGAUGCACAAAUUCAUGAAGAGUUCCGUAUUUUU